UUAAAACUUUUUUUUUUGCUGGCCAAGGUUUCUGUAAAGGUAUUUGUAUUUUGAAGUCUGUGAAGUUAUUUGGGGAGUUCUGUGAAAGCAUUUUUGUGUUUGUAAAGUUAUCUGUACAGUUAUUGUAAAGCUGUUUGUUUUUUUGUUUUUUGAGAUUUGUAGUUAUUUGGAGAGUUGUGUAAAGCCUUUUGUUCUCCAUGCUUACAGCGCCAUGGUUGUGUGUCAGCCCCCACAAUGAAACUGAAGUGCUGAACACUGAGGACCCAGAGUGCUUUCAAGACCUUUUCUGUCCAAGCUUUUUGAAUGGACUGUCUUAACAUCAGACAACAGAAAUGCAAAGAAGCAGCUAAGCUACAGACUUCAGUCAUUUUGAUUUCACAGUGCUCCUGAGCACAACAGCCCUGAAGGAAUGUAACUCAAGUCUUACUGGGCUCCAAGCAAGG